UGCCGUAGCCUUAACAGACACCCAAU
rnacentral:piRNA from 1 species